rnacentral:rRNA from 1 species
GAUGAACGCUGGCGGCGUGCCUAAUACAUGCAAGUCGAGCGAAUGGAUUAAGAGCUUGCUCUUAUGAAGUUAGCGGCGGACGGGUGAGUAACACGUGGGUAACCUGCCCAUAAGACUGGGAUAACUCCGGGAAGCCGGGGCUAAUACCGGAUAACAUUUUGAACCGCAUGGUUCGAAAUUGAAAGGCGGCUUCGGCUGUCACUUAUGGAUGGACCCGCGUCGCAUUAGCUAGUUGGUGAGGUAACGGCUCACCAAGGCAACGAUGCGUAGCCGACCUGGGAGGGUGAUCGGCCACACUGGGACUGAGCAACGGCCCAGACUCCUACGGGAGGCAGCAGUAGGGAAUCUUCCGCAAUGGACGAAAGUCUGACGGAGCAACGCCGCGUGAGUGAUGAAGGCUUUCGGGUCGUAAAACUCUGUUGUUAGGGAAGAACAAGUGCUAGUUGAAUAAGCUGGCACCUUGACGGUACCUAACCAGAAAGCCACGGCUAACUACGUGCCAGCCGCCGCCGUAA